GUCGAAGAGGCGACGCGGUUUGGUUUAGAGUGAGUGAUUAUAUUGUUGAAUUUUAAUGCUGAUAGCUUAGCAUCCUGAUUGUUUUCUACGGACGUGAACAGAUUGGACAUCAUGGAAAACCCCACAAGUGUUCCUGAAUUGAUGCAAUUCGUCCAAGCGACCUUACAGAGCAUGCAAGAAAAGUUUCAAAAUGUCGAAGACUCAAUCGUGAAACGAAUGACCGAGACUGGGAAGAAGCUGGACGAGAUAGAGAAAGGACUCACGGAUCUGAUGGAUCAUUCUGGAAUGGGGGAGCCUUAUGAAGAAGAUCUUGAAUCGGACAAAGAUUUCUCCGAUACAGACAAGGGCAGAUGAUGAUGAUGAAUCGCAGAUGACGGUUGCUGGUAAACCCGGUUGCUAGAGGCAUAAGUAAUGUAAACAGAUCGUUCACUUAACGUAGAUUAUUUUUAUUUGAGCAGAUUCCACUAUGUGUUUAUAGUAUAGUUGUUAGAAACAUCGUGUUCUUUUCCCAAUUUUAUGUGUAAAGCAGCCUAAAUCCUGCAAAACGUUUCUUUACGGUGGUAUGAUGUUGAAAUUAGUGGCCGUCGCGGUGUGUACACUGACACUACAAUUGCUUACUGAGUCAACUGGUGAAGCCGAUUAGCGAAGAAAUAAGCUUUUGACAAACAUUUUACUUUUAUUUAAAUUUAACCUGCAAGAAAAAAAAAUUGUAACGUAGAGGGCAUCACUGAAAGUACUUCCAGUUUUUUUAUAUUGUAAGUAUGGUUUUAAUGCUAAAUAUAUUUGUGUAGUUUGGGACUGAGAAAUAAACUACAAGUUGUCAUGA